rnacentral:rRNA from 1 species
CAGUCGCCACGGUAAUACGGAGGGAGCUAGCGUUGUUCGGAAUUACUGGGCGUAAAGCGCGCGUAGGCGGUUACUCAAGUCAGAGGUGAAAGCCCGGGGCUCAACCCCGGAACUGCCUUUGAAACUAGGUGACUAGAAUCUUGGAGAGGUCAGUGGAAUUCCGAGUGUAGAGGUGAAAUUCGUAGAUAUUCGGAAGAACACCAGUGGCGAAGGCGACUGACUGGACAAGUAUUGACGCUGAGGUGCGAAAGCGUGGGGAGCAAACAGGAUUAGAUACCCCAGUAGUCCCUGUCUCUUAUAC